CUCUGGCAUAACGUGACAUUUUCUAACGCUCCCAUAGGCUCUCAGAAGGCGCCAGAACAUUGAAUGAUUACUUUGCAGGCCAUGGCUGAAAAACAGAAGCGCAUUUGGAUAGUGGUCGAUCUGAGAACAAUGAGACUGGGGCACUCGUGCACGAGCCUCCACCAUGUUUACAUUUUCAGUCUUUGAACAAAAACAGGGUUUCCCGGUCGGAAUAUUAUCGGUUUUUUACGAGAAAAAUGGCAUAAAAAUUGAUUUUAAACAGCUGUUGACAUGCUUCGAAGUACGGUAAUGGAAUAUAUAGAAAUUUUUUGUCACGAAAUGCGCCGUGGUCGUCACCCUUCUUUACCCUUUCGGAUAGUGUCUUGAACGCACGAACAAAACGCCGCUGUUUGGAUAUAACUAUGGAUUAUUUGGGACCAAACCAACAUUUGUUAUUGAAGUAGAAGUCCUGGGAGUGCAUUCUGACGAAGAACACCAAAGCACUGAGAGAUGGCCAGGCCAUGGUGGAAGACACCGUUCACACCAGAACAGGAGACUGCUAUUGUGAACAUGGGGGUGGCAAACAAUACCACUAGACUACGAAAAAUCCAGAACCACAUACUUGCAGACAACAACAUAUUCAAUAACAUUCACCAGUUGGGCUUGUCUACAUUGGACCAUGUAUUACAGCGCAACCGAAUCCGGAUGAAACAGGUCAACAAGGUGCCAUUUGAGCGAAACUCAGAGAGGGUUAAAGAACAGCGCUACGAAUAUGUGAAAAGAGUCUUGGAGGUGGAUGCCGCUGCAAUUCAGCACGUUUAUAUUUACAUUGAUUAGGCUGGCUUCAACCUAGCCAAAAGAAGGGUACAGGGACGGAACAUUAUUGGUCUCCGUGCCAUUGUGAAUGUCCCUAGACUGCGCGGAGGGAAUAUUUUACAUUUACAUUUUAGUCAUUUAGCAGACGCUCUUAUCCAGAGCGACUUACAAAUUGGUGCAUUCACCUAUAAUAUCCAGUGGAACAACCACUUUACAAUAGUGCAUCUAAAUCUUUUAAGGGGGGGGUUAGAAGGAUUACUUUAUCCUAUCCCAGGUAUUCCUUGAAGAGGUGGGGUUUCAGGUGUCUCCGGAAGGUGGUGAUUGACUCCGCUGUCCUGGCGUCGUGAGGGAGCUUGUUCCACCAUUGGGGUGCCAGAGCAGCGAACAGUUUUGACUGGGCUGAGCGGGAACUGUGCUUCCUCAGAGGUAGGGAGGCGAGCAGGCCAGAGGUGGAUGAACGGAGUGCCCUUGUUUGGGUGUAGGGCCUGAUCAGAGCCUGAAGGUACGGAGGUGCCGUUCCCCUCACAGCUCCGUAGGCAAGCACCAUGGUCUUGUAGCGGAUGCGAGCUUCGACUGGAAGCUCGCAUCCGAAUAUCACCAUGUGCGCAGCCAUUAGCCAGCAAGGUGUCCUCCAUCACCAUGCCAACCUUGGUCCCUACAACACCGCCCUUCUCAUCACAUUCCUGGACACACUACAUGGCAUCCUCAUUCCAGCCGAGCAGAGGGGUGGACCAGAGCAGCCCAGAUAUGUUGUCAACUGGGACAACGUGAGUUUCCACCAGGCUGCUCUGGUCCACAACUGGUUCAUCGACCACCCACAAUUUAUUGUUCUAAACUUCCCACUAUAUUCCCCAUUCCUAAACCCAAUUGAAGAGUUUUUUUCGGCAUGGUGAUGGAAGGUGUAUGACCGCCAUCCCCUCACACGCACGCCUCUUCUCCAGGCAAUGGAGUAUGCAUGUGGUGAAGUUGAUGUAGAUGAGCUGCUGUGGCCAAACCAAAACAGGAGGCAGGAUGCAGCCUAUUGUCUUUUUUUUGCACAUGUUUUUGACUUUUUGUGUUUAGAGUUUUGAAAGAAUGAGCUACUAUUAAUGUACAGAAAACCCUUUAUCUUACGGGAAAGAAAUUAAAAAAUUAUGUAUGUAUGAAAUGUAAGUCGCUCUGGAUAAGAGCGUCUGCUAAAUGACUAAAAUGUAAAUGUAAAUCUUACUGAAUGUUUUUCCUGGUUUUCUCCUGUUGGGUAUGGACAGUGUUACAUGCAAAACA
rnacentral:lncRNA from 1 species